rnacentral:rRNA from 1 species
CUCGUAGGUGGCCAACUAAGUCAGACGUGAAAUCCCUCGGCUUAACCGGGGAACUGCGUCUGAUACUGGAUGGCUUGAGUGUGGGAGAGGGAUGCGGAAUUCCAGGUGUAGCGGUGAAAUGCGUAGAUAUCUGGAGGAACACCGGUGGCGAAGGCGGCAUCCUGGACCAUUACUGACACUGAAUAGCGAAAGCCAGGGGAGCAAACG